rnacentral:rRNA from 1 species
CGGGUGAGUAAUGUAUGGGGAUCUGCCUGAUGGCGGGGGAUAACUACUGGAAACGGUAGCUAGUACCGCAUAAUGUCUACGGACCAAAGCGGGGGACCUCCGGGCCUCGCGCCAUCAGAUGAACCCAUAUGGGAUUAGCUAGUAGGUGGGGUAACGGCUCACCUAGGCGACGAUCCCUAGCUGGUCUGAGAGGAUGACCAGCCACACUGGAACUGAGACACGGUCCAG